rnacentral:rRNA from 1 species
UACGUAGGGUGCGAGCGUUAAUCGGAAUUACUGGGCGUAAAGCGUGCGCAGGCGGCGGCUCAAGUCAGGUGUGAAAUCCCCGGGCUUAACCUGGGAAUUGCGCUUGAAACUAGGCUGCUUGAGUGUGGCAGAGGGGGGUGGAAUUCCACGUGUAGCAGUGAAAUGCGUAGAUAUCUGGAGGAACACCGGUGGCGAAGGCGGCAUCCUGGACCAAUACUGACGCUGAGGAGCGAAAGCCAGGGGAGCAAACGGG